GAUGAAGAACGUAGCGAAAUGCGAUAAGUAAUGUGAAUUGCAGAAUUCAGUGAAUCAUCGAAUCUUUGAACGCACAUUGCGCCCGCCAGUAUUCUGGCGGGCAUGCCUGUCCGAGCGUCAUUUCAACCAUCAAGCCCCGGGCUUGUGUUGGGGACCUGCGUCCGACGCAGGCCCUGAAAACCAGUGGCGGGCUCGCUGUCCACACCGAGCGUAGUAACUAACCUCGCUAUGGAGUGGCGCGGGCGCCUGCCGUAAAACCCCCAAUUUCACAAGGUUGACCUCGGAUCAGGUAGGAAUACCCGCUGAACUUAAGCAUAUCAAUAAGCUGAGGA
rnacentral:misc_RNA from 1 species